rnacentral:ncRNA from 2 species
CUAUCCUUUCGGCGCGUCGGUUUCAUCCGGUUCGUCCGGUUGACCAAGAGGGAAUCUGGUGUGAAUCCAGGACUGCCCCGCAGCGGUGACGGAAACGACAGCGGCCACACAGCACUGGGUUGUGACGACCUGGGAAGCGGCCGCCGGUAGGUGGUGCGCAACGUACCGGGUCCGGAGUCCGAAGACCUGCCGGCGUGGCCGCGGCGGG